rnacentral:rRNA from 1 species
GAACGGUAGCACAGAGGAGCUUGCUCCUUGGGUGACAAGUGGCGGACGGGUGAGUAAUGUCUGGGAAACUGCCCGAUGGAGGGGGAUAACUACUGGAAACGGUAGCUAAUACCGCAUAACGUCUUCGGACCAAAGUGGGGGACCUUCGGGCCUCACACCAUCGGAUGUGCCCAGAUGGGAUUAGCUAGUAGGUGGGGUAAUGGCUCACCUAGGCGACGAUCCCUAGCUGGUCUGAGAGGAUGACCAGCCACACUGGAACUGAGACACGGUCCAGACUCCUACGGGAGGCAGCAGUGGGGAAUAUUGCACAAUGGGCGCAAGCCUGAUGCAGCCAUGCCGCGUGUAUGAAGAAGGCCUUCGGGUUGUAAAGUACUUUCAGUGGGGAGGAAGGCGUUAAGGUUAAUAGCCUUGACGAUUGACGUUACCCGCAGAAGAAGCACCGGCUAACUCCGUG